rnacentral:rRNA from 1 species
UACGUAGGCAGCAAGCGUUGUUCGGAUUUACUGGGCGUAAAGAGUGCGUAGGUGGUGUCCUAAGUCUGUUGUGAAAUCUCCCGGCUUAACUGGGAGGGUGCGGUGGAAACUGGGGUGCUUGAGUGUGGGAGAGGUAAGCGGAAUUCCUGGUGUAGCGGUGAAAUGCGUAGAUAUCAGGAGGAACACCGGUGGUGUAGACGGCUUACUGGACCACGACUGACACUGAGGCACGAAAGCGUGGGUAGCAAACAGG